AGGUCAUGAAGGGAAAAAGACAAGAAGAAUUCUCUGAGUGCCUGUAGUAACUCAAUUGAUUGCUUAAAGAAGAACAUGUAAGACAGUUGAGGUUAUGUAGGAGAAAGGAAAGAAGAACUGUGGACUGAAGAAUGAAAAGAAGAAGAACAAGAGAAAGGAGAAGAAGACGACAUGCAUCAGUUUAAAUUAAUGAACUGUCUGUAAAAGAAACGUCAAUCAUUUCUGUCAGGCAUUUGAGGUUAUAAAGGAGAAAGACAAGAAGAACUGUGAAGAAAUUCGUUAAUUUCUUCUAAGCACUUAAAAAAGAGAAGGAAAAAGAAGAAGUGGGAUAUUGGACAUAAAUGAUCUAUCUGUAAAAGAAAAAUUAAUAAUUUCUUCCAGGCAGUUGAGGUCCUGAGGGAAAAGACAAGAAGAGCUGAAGUCUAUGGUACCAAUUCGACUGCCUAUAAAAAAAUCAUUAAUAUUUUUCAUGUGCUUAUAGAAGAAGAAGAAUAAGAAGAAAUGUACAUAUGGUCAUAUGGAAUAAAAAUCAUAAAUUGCCUUUAAGAGUAAAAUCAAUAGUCUCUUCCAGGCAGUCGAGAUCAUGAUGGAGAAAAACUGUACUCUGUAACUCAUUUCAAAUAUAAUUACCACUAACUAUGAUGUUUGAAAUUACCUAUUUUUGUUAUGUAA